rnacentral:rRNA from 1 species
AACGUAGGUGGCGAGCGUUAUCCGGAUUUACUGGGCGUAAAGCGUGUGCAGGCGGGGUGACAAGUGGGGUAUGAAAUAUCCCGGCUUAACCGGGAAGGGUUAUGCCAGACUGUCAUUCUAGAGUGCGAGAGAGGGGCGUGGAAUUCCGGGUGUAGUGGUGAAAUGCGCAGAUAUCAGGAGGAACACCGGUGGCGAAGGCGGGUCUCUGGGCCGAUAUUGACGCUGAGAAGCGAAAGCAUGGGUAGCAAACAGG